GGAAAGGCGCGCGAUACAGGGUGACAGCCCCGUACACAAAAAUGCACAUGCUGUGAGCUCGAUGAGUAGGGCGGGACACGUGGUAUCCUGUCUGAAUAUGGGGGGACCAUCCUCCAAGGCUAAAUACUCCUGACUGACCGAUAGUGAACCAGUACCGUGAGGGAAAGGCGAAAAGAACCCCGGCGAGGGGAGUGAAAAAGAACCUGAAACCGUGUACGUACAAGCAGUGGGAGCACGCUUAGGCGUGUGACUGCGUACCUUUUGUAUAAUGGGUCAGCGACUUAUAUUCUGUAGCAAGGUUAACCGAAUAGGGGAGCCGAAGGGAAACCGAGUCUUAACUGGGCGUUAAGUUGCAGGGUAUAGACCCGAAACCCGGUGAUCUAGCCAUGGGCAGGUUGAAGGUUGGGUAACACUAACUGGAGGACCGAACCGACUAAUGUUGAAAAAUUAGCGGAUGACUUGUGGCUGGGGGUGAAAGGCCAAUCAAACCGGGAGAUAGCUGGUUCUCCCCGAAAGCUAUUUAGGUAGCGCCUCGUGAAUUCAUCUCCGGGGGUAGAGCACUGUUUCGGCAAGGGGGUCAUCCCGACUUACCAACCCGAUGCAAACUGCGAAUACCGGAGAAUGUUAUCACGGGAGACACACGGCGGGUGCUAACGUCCGUCGUGAAGAGGGAAACAACCCAGACCGCCAGCUAAGGUCCCAAAGUCAUGGUUAAGUGGGAAACGAUGUGGGAAGGCCCAGACAGCCAGGAUGUUGGCUUAGAAGCAGCCAUCAUUUAAAGAAAGCGUAAUAGCUCACUGGUCGAGUCGGCCUGCGCGGAAGAUGUAACGGGGCUAAACCAUGCACCGAAGCUGCGGCAGCGACGCUGAUGCGUUGUUGGGUAGGGGAGCGUUCUGUAAGCCUGCGAAGGUGUGCUGUGAGGCAUGCUGGAGGUAUCAGAAGUGC
rnacentral:rRNA from 1 species